UACAGAGGGUGCGAGCGUUAAUCGGAAUUACUGGGCGUAAAGCGUGCGUAGACGGUUUUGUAAGUCGGAUGUGAAAUCCCCGGGCUCAACCUGGGAAUUGCAUUCGAGACUGCAAGGCUUGGGUGCGGAAGAGGGAAGCGGAAUUUCCGGUGUAGCGGUGAAAUGCGUGGAUAUCGGAAGGAACAUCAGUGGCGAAAGCGGCUUCCUGGUCCAGCACCGACGUUCAGGCACGAAAGCGUGGGGAGCAAACAGG
rnacentral:rRNA from 1 species